UACGUAGGUGGCAAGCGUUGUCCGGAUUUACUGGGCGUAAAGAGCGCGCAGGCGGUCGUUCAAGUCGCGUGUGAAAGCCCCCGGCUCAACUGGGGAGGGUCACGCGAUACUGUUCGACUCGAAGGCAGGAGAGGGAAGUGGAAUUCCCGGUGUAGUGGUGAAAUGCGUAGAUAUCGGGAGGAACACCAGUGGCGAAGGCGACUUCCUGGCCUGUUCUUGACGCUGAGGCGCGAAAGCUAGGGGAGCAAACGGG
rnacentral:rRNA from 1 species